rnacentral:rRNA from 1 species
GUGCCAGCAGCCGCGGUAAUACGAAGGGUGCAAGCGUUAAUCGGAAUUACUGGGCGUAAAGCGUGCGUAGGCGGUUUGUUAAGUCUGCUGUGAAAUCCCCGGGCUCAACCUGGGAAUGGCAGUGGAUACUGGCAAGCUAGAGUGUGUCAGAGGAUGGUGGAAUUCCCGGUGUAGCGGUGAAAUGCGUAGAGAUCGGGAGGAACAUCAGUGGCGAAGGCGGCCAUCUGGGACAACACUGACGCUGAGGCACGAAAGCGUGGGGAGCAAACAGGAUUAGAAACCCCAGUAGUCC